UACGUAGGGGGCAAGCGUUGUCCGGAUUUAUUGGGCGUAAAGAGCGUGUAGGCGGCCUGACAGGUCUGCUGUGAAAACUCGAGGCUCAACCUCGAGAUGUCGGCGGAAACCGUCUGGCUAGAGUCCGGAAGAGGAGAGUGGAAUUCCUGGUGUAGCGGUGAAAUGCGCAGAUAUCAGGAGGAACACCGGUGGCGAAGGCGGGUCUCUGGGCCGAUACUGACGUGAGGAGCGAAAGCGUGGGGGAGCGAACAGG
rnacentral:rRNA from 1 species